rnacentral:rRNA from 1 species
AGAGUUUGAUCAUGGCUCAGGACGAACGCUAGCGGCGUGCCUAAGGUAUGCAAGUCGAACGGACGGGGGAGCUUGCUCUCCCGUUAGUGGCGAACGGUCGAGUAACACGUAGACUACCUGCCUUCCAGUGGGGGACAACCGCUCGAAAGGGCGGCUAAUACCGCAUACGGCGAGGGAGCGCCUGCUCCCCUGGCCAAAGGGUUGGCGCAAGUCAGCUCGCUGGAAGAUGGGUCUGCGGCCUAUCAGCUAGUUGGUGAGGUAACGGCUCACCAAGGCGACGACGGGUAGCGGGUCUGAGAGGAUGAUCCGCCGGACGGGGACUGAGACACGGCCCCGACUCCUCCGGGAGGCAGCAAUGAGGAAUAUUGCGCAAUGGGCGAAAGCCUGACGCAGCGACGCCGCGUGGGUGAGGAAGUCCUUCGGGAUGUAAAGCCCUUUUGCCGGGGACGAUAAAAGACGGUACCCGGCGAAUAAGCCCCGGCUAACUACGUGCCAGCAGCCGCGGUAAUACGUAGGGGGCAAGCGUUGUCCGGAUUUACUGGGCGUAAAGCGCGCGUAGGCGGAAGCUCAAGUCUGGCCUGAAAGCCCCCGGCUCAACCGGGGAGUGGGGCUGGAAACUGGGUUUCUUGAGGGCGAUAGAGGAGUGUGGAAUUCCUGGUGUAGCGGUGAAAUGCGUAGAGAUCAGGAGGAACACCCGUGGCGAAGGCGGCACUCUGGGUCGGCCCUGACGCUGAGGCGCGAAAGCGUGGGGAGCGAACGGGAUUAGAUACCCUAGUAGUCC